AAUACUUAAAACAUUUGGAAGGAAAAAUUAGUAGAUGUGACAUAUGACAAAAAUUAAAGGGUUCUUGUGCCCAUAUUGCUAUAUAUAGUCAAGAUUCAUGUGUAGACACUCAGAUAUACAAACUGACCCACUCUGACAGCGUGUUUCCAUGUUUAUCAACAUACAAAAAAUGUAGGGAACACACACAGAUACCACAUAAUGCAAUGGCUAUGCUCUAAAUCUGUUUGGCAAUAUACAGAAAAACACAAAGAAUAAAAUAAAGUAGUACAUAUAAUCAUCUUCUAGGGCCUCGUAUAAGCACCAAACACACCAUUAUAUCUUUUUCUAGCAAGUCCAUAGCUUGAUGCCAGCAAGCACAAUCUCGUGACAAGCUCUGCGCAAACAAGAAGACACCCAUUUGAAAACUCAACAUGAAUCAAAUUAUAAAGCCGAAGAUACUAUAGUAUCAUUCUCAUAAUGUCACAGGGAACGUACCAGCUGGAGAGGAGUCU
rnacentral:lncRNA from 1 species